UACAGGGGGGGCAAGCGUUGUUCGGAAUUACUGGGCGUAAAGGGCCUGUAGGCGGCCAACUAAGUCCGACGUGAAAUCCCCAGGCUCAACCUGGGAACUGCGUCGGAUACUGGAUGGCUUGAAUUCGGGAGAGGGAUGCAGAAUUCCAGGUGUAGCGGUGAAAUGCGUAGAUAUCUGGAGGAAUACCGGUGGCGAAGGCGGCAUCCUGGACCGACAUUGACGCUGAAAGGCGAAAGCUAGGGGAGCAAACGGG
rnacentral:rRNA from 1 species